UCCUGUGCAUACCAAAAACUGCAUGGCAGCACUGUGAUACAAUGGCCAUGCGUUUGAUUUCAGGGUGAGUUUGGCGUGUACCUGGUGUCAGAUGGAUCCAGCAGACCAUACAGGUGUAAGAUCAAGGCACCUGGCUUUGCCCACCUGGCUGGACUGGACAAAGUGUCCCAGGGUCACAUGCUUGCUGAUGUGGUGGCCAUCAUAGGAACACUUGAUGUCGUGUAUGGAGAAAUUGAUCGCUGAGGUCGGACCACAACUCCUUUGAAAAUAGAUUUUCUGUUGUCUUGAACCC